rnacentral:snRNA from 1 species
AUGUGGGACAUUGUACACAUUG